UUCCGUAGGUGAACCUGCGGAAGGAUCAUUACCA
rnacentral:rRNA from 3 species